UGUGGGAUAAUGUUUUGAAGAGGGAGGGUGGGGUGUCUGGGUGAUAAAUGUUUUUUGAGAAGGAGGUGGGGGGUGCCUCUGUGUGAUAAUUUUUGGAGAGGGAGGUGGGGUGCCUCUGUGUGAUAAUGUUUUAAGAGGGAGGUUGGGUGUCUGGUGAUAUGUUUUUGAAGAGGGAGGGUGGGGGGGGCCUCUGUUGUGAUAAUGUUUGAAAGAGGGAGGGGGGGGUGUCUGUGUGAUAUGUUUUGAGAGGUAGGUGGGGGGUGCCUCUGUGUUAUAAUGUGUUUGAAGAGGGAGGUGGGGGUUGUCUGUGUGAGUAAUGUUUGAAGAGGGAGGUGGGGGUGCCGCCUGUGUGAUAAUGUUGUAAGAGGGGCGGUGGGGUGUCUGUGUGAUAAGGUUUUGAAGAGGGAGGAUGGGGGUGCCUCUGUGUGAUAAGGUUUUGAAGAGGGAGGUGGGGGUGCCUCUGUGUGAUAAUGUUUUGAAGAGGGAGGUGGGGGUGCCCUCUGUGUGAUAAUGUUUUGAAGAGGGAGGUAGGGGUGCCUCUGUGUGAUAAUGUUUGAAGAAGGA
rnacentral:lncRNA from 1 species